rnacentral:lncRNA from 1 species
GUUUGUUCUUAAACUUACUAAACUAAUACCCAAUAUUUGUCCUGGAAAGUUCAUUACAUAAUAACCACCACCAUCACCAAAAUUAAACUUUUUAUUUCCAUGUAUUGGACCAUCAAUUCCAGCAUAUAUACUUAUUAUUUUUCUGUCUGGUUUAUUUUUAAUAUUACCAACUAUAUUUUCAACAUUUAAAACUCUGAUGCUUAGGGCAGCGACACUCCGAUGUAAAUUUUUAUCCUUAGUAUCCAUUGUUUGAAGCUCACUCUUCAUAUUUAAUAUUUCUUUUUCUACGUUUUUUUUUUUGACACCAAGUAUGCUCAUUUUAUUAAAUAAAUUAUAUAACUUCUAAAACACAAUUAAUUGGUAAAUGAUUAAUUAUCUUGUUAUUAUUUUCAUCUCUUAUUUCUAAUUUCAAUUCUGUUAUAAC